GUGGCAUCUGAAGUGCGAUCACAGUCAACGUGGCAUCUGAUGUAGGGGGUUUUGCAAAACGAAAGAUUACGAUUAACUAAUUUCAGCUUUGCGUGGGGAACUAAAGUGACUUUGUCGAGCACUCUGACAGGCUUUGGUUUCUGGUAAUUAUUUAUACCAAAGUAGGGGUUUGAGGUUUUUCAAAGGAUGAGUAAUUAAGCGAGUUUCAGGGCAUGUGAAAGUGCAGUGCUUUUAUGAAACGCUGAAAUCAGCCACGCAUUCGGUGACCUCUGUAGUUGGUGACGAAGUUCACGUGGAAGAUCAUUUUCCUUGAUCACAGGAUCAAAAUGAUUUUGGGGCAAAUCGGAGAACGCGAUUCUAGUGACAGGACUUCCCAACAGAAUAAUAUUUUUUCCUGACCACAGUCGUUGGAGCGAGCGUUGACGUCCUUUUAUUGAUAAAUGUUCUCGCUGUGUCUAAUUCAUGUGAAAAUUUUGUGUGCAGAUUCGGUUUGUGAUCUUUACGGCACAACAUUUAACUGAAAAGAGUUUUGAGCGUCGGAAUCUGAGUACCUCUCCAUUAUGCGUUCACUUUACUUGGUUAACAGAGCACACACGUCCUUAAGUUCUGUGAAUUCCCUGUAUUGUGGAGGAAAUCUGGGUAAAUUAAAUAUGAAACAGUUGGUAUCUCUGGCUAGACUCUAACCCCACAGUUUUAUGCAGCCAACUGCGCCCGAGGACAGGGGUUCGUAUCCCCUCCUUCACUGGAUCCAGCGACUUCAGAAAAAGAUAGAAAAGAAUUGUGCGUGGCCUCAAACAAGAGACUGUAGAGCUGCUGGAAGGGAAUUUGUGGCCACAGGAAGACUUCAGUUAAACUGGUUAGGCCGCCAAGUCACAUUCUGAGCAGGCACCCUCGCGAAUGUAAGUUUUGGUCUUCAAGAACUCUUCCGAAGUCAAUGAUUACGAGUUGACUCUAAACAGAAGGACGUUUCGUGUUUGUGACUAGCAAAUUACGCACGUGACCUCCUAAUUUCAUUAAAAGUGUCGAGCCCUCGUCUUCGCCUCACUAAGGCGUCCAAUUCCUUCUCGCUGUGCUGAUGAUUGAACUUUGGCAUUGUCGUGUAUCAGUGGACAAUUUCUUCUGCAGAUUGUCAUAUUGUAAUGCAAUUAUAAGAGGCUACAAAUUAUAUUCGGUUUAAAUAAAAUUUCAGAGGAACUCUGAUUAAAAUUCUGUUGGUCAUUAGCAAACACGUGAAAGUAAGCUGGUUUAUGAAACUGAACUUACAAAAUAAACAACUGCAUAUAUUUUAAUGGUAAAAUGGGGCAGUCGUGUAAACAAAUGCUAGAUUGUUGCAUAAAUUAAUAAAUAUCGAAGCCAUUCGCCAGAAUUCAGAGUCCCAGGUUUGUUAUCGUGAAAGAAAUUCAAGUCUGCAAGAAAACGAAUAAAAAAUCCCUUCCCACGCAACUGCGAUACAAGCAUCAUCAACGUGUCUCAAAUAAAUUGUAUUAAUGUGAGUCAAUUUGACUGUAAAUAAAAAAUUAUGGGACAUGUCUGAUUAUUUCGACUCUCGACUACAAAAUUUCUGAAAUGACGUUUGUAGUCUGUGGGGACGAUUAAAACUAAAGUCUACACGCAGAAUCAUGCGUCUCGAAGUGGAAUACGCCGUAAUCAGCCUCUCCCGUAAUCUGAGUGUCAUGACAACUGGCUGGCAAGGAAUGCGAUGUUCCUGCCUGCAACCAGAAUUCAGUGGUCUGUUAAAUACAAAGAAAUUGCUACUUUGAAAGUCGAAUCAUAACCAACGUACAAAACGAGGAAGUUAUCGAACGUACGUCCUCCUAAGAGUCGAUCCGCUAACUGGCGAUUGAAGUGAAACCAGUCGUCUCAUUUGUUGUUGUUGUUGUACGAAACUUCACCUUGAGAAAUCAUAAAUUUGUAAAGGUCAUUCCAAAGAGAAGGAAAACCAGUUUUGAGGUCACACAUUUCACUUUCCUCCUGUUGGUUCGACGCGAUUAGAGUCUAACCUCAAAACUCCAGUCUCUUAUAAAGUGAGUUGCUGUUCUUUCCAACAAAUAACUUUAAUCUGCUUGCAAAAAUUCGAAAUUUGUGUUACCACUCACAAAAUAAAUGGAAUCUGAACCAUAUAUUUGGGUUACUUUGCCCCAGAAAAACCUUUUAUUUCCACUGUGUUGUUAACACAGUUUAUAGGUAAAGUAUUACAUAUUAUUCUCCUUUUUUUAGCAGUUUAUUGCAAUCUUUGAAAUAAUUCUUUUAAAUGUGAGUUAAAAAUAACCCAAGUUUUUGGGUUAUUGUGACCCAAAAUUCCUCCAAACUCAGUUAACGUGAGAUGCGAAUUCCUUAACAAUGUACAAGUAUAUAUAACACGUAAAAAUUAUGUAUUUGACAUAUAAUACAAAAUAUAAUUGUUUAAAUUAGAAUAAAGUCACAAAUUUGGAAAUUUUCAAAAAAAAAAAUGUAUCAGCAUAAACCAAAUUAACAAAACGCUCGGGAAUUACCGUAUUAGAGGUGAAAAACAAAAGCUAAUCGAAUUUUUUCAUUAAUAAAACAAAGACAACAACAAUACAAUAUUGUAGGUUAGGUUGCCCUCUUCAUUGCAUUCAGUUUUUGUUCAUGUCGUGAUGCAUUUAUUGUAAAUAGACUUUGCACUUAUUUGGUAUUUUAAAGAAAUUCUUCGGAAAAGAACCCAUUACAUUUUAUUUUGAAAGUAUAUUGCGAUCCGUCUGGUUCUGUAGGACGCGAUCUUCUUGGUUUGCAUUAGCAUUUGUGGCUUAAUUUAGCUCACAUUUCGUGCGAGGCAAAGCAACUCGUAAUACCGAGUUAACAGCACAAACAAUUAGUGCAGAAGAAUGACGAUUGCUAAUUGUAAAAUAAUUCUUAUAAUUGUGUCUCUUAAAGUAAGAACUUAUAUAGAUGUGCUUUCACAGGAUUUUCAAAAUGCAUGAAAAUUUUGUGUGCCUCUGCUCUGCUCUGUGCACGACGACGCUGAUUCAGAGAAUCUCGUGGAUUGGUUCGAUCUACUAGCUAGCCGGUGCAAAGGAGUUUCUCUUUAACUCGUGUAGCAUCCUAAGGAAAAGAAGUAACCCUCUUAUGUGGUGCAUUCCGUCAGUGUGAUUGAGAUGUCUCUUGGACACACGGACAUUAAUUUUUCACAUUCAAAUUUCCCCAUAUAUUAUUCUGUCAAAUCAAAAAGUCUGUAGUAUUCUAAAAGAAAAGAAAUCUUGCUAAAACUCGGAUUAAAUUAAAAUUGUCUGAUCUAAAUGAUGUAUACUAAAAUAUUACAUGGCCCUCACGAUGGAUUAAUCUGACAAGUGUCGUAUAUGAAUAUAAAACCACGGAGUUUCGUCUUUGCCUUUUAUCUCAAGUGAUCAUAGAGUAUAGUAUCAUUUUGUACGUAAACUAAUAUAAAAUUUGAGUGUUUGUAUUUUUAUCCUCUAAUCGCUUUGAUUAAAUCACAGUUCAUUGAACUUAUUAAAUA